UAGGGAAUCUUCCACAAUGGACGCAAGUCUGAUGGAGCAACGCCGCGUGAGUGAAGAAGGUCUUCGGAUCGUAAAACUCUGUUGUUAGAGAGGAACACGUAUGAGAGUAACUGUUCAUACGUUGACGGUAUUUAACCAGAAAGUCACGGCUAACUACGUGCCAG
rnacentral:rRNA from 1 species